CACUUCUCAUUGCUCUUGUACAAUGAUUGCAUAUAUGUGCUUCCCACACUUUCCCCCCUUUAGCUUAUGUGCCUCCAAGGACAUCUGUGUCAAAGGAGAUCUCUCCCACCACUGCUUUUCGGAAAGUAACAACCCUCGCUACUUCCAUUUCCCAGCAUGUCUACAAACAGACAGUCCAAGCGAUCCAACUUGUGAAAGCCAAAGGAGAAGAACUGGCUGUAUGGAUCCCAGCUCUGACAUCAAAGAGAGCUGACCUACAGGGUAUGCUGGGACGUCUGGCUCACAACCUGCAUACAGCGUAUCUCUCCAGCAUCUUGCUUGUAAAGAAUGCCCCCUUCAUUGCCUGGAGCACAGCUGGCCAGCUUCUCCAUGUCUCAACACACAAGGCUGUGUCUGAGGCAGGCGCAAAAGCGGGCAUCUUGCAGGGGAUUGCAAGCAAGCUCCUGGGAACCAUCAUCCACUAUAUACCUUUACCAGAAGUUUUGGAGUCGGAAGAGGAAGCUGCAACUGGAGAUCAGACUGAGUCAAUUUUGGAAGAUGAAGAUGUUCGACUGAUCAUUGCUCGCCAGCUACAAGACCGGAGACGAUCCAGCAGAGGUCACUAUCCCAUUCCCUUCCUCAACCUGGAUGAUCCCCUCCCUCCUCAGCAAGCCCCCUCCCAACGCCAACGAGGCCCAGUCUCCGAAGCAGAGCAUUUUGGAUCCCGCAAAUCUGCUGGCACUCGGAGAUGGAGCGAAGGCCUGUUCCGGCCCCCACCAGAAGCGAUAUUCACCAGGGCUCAUAGCAUUGCCCUGAAGAAAGACUGAGCCAACAAAGACAACAAACCCACCACUUCAUCUACUACUUUGGGUCAAAGGAGACAUGAAGAGAAAAAAGGAACUCAUUUCCCUUUGAACAACAGAACUUUUAUAUGCAUGAGUGGUGCAGUUUAAUCCUACCUUCCACUAAUCAUGAAACAUUAUCCUGUACUACAUAGAUCAGGGGUCCUCAAACUUUUUCAGUGGAGGGCCGAUUCACAAUCCCUCAGACUGUUGGGGGGCCGGACUAUGAUGAAAUAGUCCAGAAUUAGGAUUGUUGUUGUUGUGUGCCUUCAAGUCAUUUCAGACUUAGUCAAGUCUAAGUGUAAAGUUUAGUUCAGAGGCCAGGUAAAUGACCUUGGAGGGCCACAUCUGGCCCAUGGGCCUUAGUUUGGGGACCCCUGGUCUAGAUGAUCUCAUAAGACCAUAGGUAAGUAAAGAGACCUCCAAAAACCAUCUAGAUGGUCUCAUAAGACCAUAGGUAAGGAAAGGGACCCUCAAAGGCCAUCUAGAUGGUCUCAUAAGACCAUAGGUAAGGAAAGGGACCCUCAAAGGCCAUCUAGAUGGUCUCAUAAGACCAUAGGUAAGGAAAGGGACCCUCAAAGGUCAUCUAGAUGAUCU
rnacentral:lncRNA from 11 species